UACAGAGGUCUCAAGCGUUGUUCGGAUUCAUUGGGCGUAAAGGGUGCGUAGGCGGGGCUUUAAGUCAGGGGUGAAAUCCUGGAGCUCAACUCCAGAACUGCCUUUGAUACUGAAGAUCUUGAGUUCGGGAGAGGUGAGUGGAACUGCGAGUGUAGAGGUGAAAUUCGUAGAUAUUCGCAAGAACACCAGUGGCGAAGGCGGCUCACUGGCCCGAUACUGACGCUGAGGCACGAAAGCGUGGGGAGCAAACAGG
rnacentral:rRNA from 1 species